GGUGGGGCGGGGCCGCUCAGGCGCCUUGGACGCGGAGCCGUGGGACGAGGGCGGCGCCUCCUGGAGGAAAGCUAUGUCAUGAAGGAUCCCUUCACCUCCGACAAGGACAGAUUCCUGGUCCUCGGCUCGUGCUGCAGUUUGUGCAGCAGGCUGGUGUGUGUGGGCCCGGAAUGCAGUUUAUUCUACUCCAAGAGAUUCUGCCUCCCUUGUGUCCGGGAGAACAUCAAUGCUUUUCCUCAGGAAAUUCGGCAAGACUUGGAGAAAAGGAAAGCUCCAUCAAAGAGGACCCCCAGCCAGCCCGGUUCUCGGACGUGAGUGCAACUGGGGCUAGGUCAUCGGGCGGCACCCUGCACAGAGCUCCUGGGCCAGCCUGCGCCAGGGAUGCUGCUGAGCUGGGAGCCGCCAUGCCUGGCCUUGUUUCUGGACCACUGGGAGCAGCACUGCAGCCCAGGGGAGCUGGAGUCCAGCUUGGAGCAGCCACAGGCCCAGGGAGCUGUA
rnacentral:lncRNA from 1 species